UACGUAGGGUGCAAGCGUUGUCCGGAAUUAUUGGGCGUAAAGAGCUCGUAGGCGGUUUGUCGCGUCUGCUGUGAAAACCCGAGGCUCAACCUCGGGCCUGCAGUGGGUACGGGCAGACUAGAGUGCGGUAGGGGAGAUUGGAAUUCCUGGUGUAGCGGUGGAAUGCGCAGAUAUCAGGAGGAACACCGAUGGCGAAGGCAGAUCUCUGGACCGAUACUGACGCUGAGGCGCGAAAGCGUGGGAGCAAACAGG
rnacentral:rRNA from 1 species